GGUUAAGCGACUAAGCGUACACGGUGGAUGCCCUGGCAGUCAGAGGCGAUGAAGGACGUGCUAAUCUGCGAUAAGCGCCGGUAAGGUGAUAUGAACCGUUAUAACCGGCGAUUUCCGAAUGGGGAAACCCAGUGUGACUCGUCACACUAUCAUUAACUGAAUCCAUAGGUUAAUGAGGCGAACCGGGGGAACUGAAACAUCUAAGUACCCCGAGGAAAAGAAAUCAACCGAGAUUCCCCCCAGUAGCGGCGAGCGAACGGGGAGGAGCCCAGAGCCUGAAUCAGCAUGUGUGUUAGUGGAAGCGUCUGGAAAGGCGCGCGAUACAGGGUGACAGCCCCGUACACAAAAGCGCAUGUGCUGUGAGCUCGAUGAGUAGGGCGGGACACGUGGUAUCCUGUCUGAAUAUGGGGGGACCAUCCUCCAAGGCUAAAUACUCCUGACUGACCGAUAGUGAACCAGUACCGUGAGGGAAAGGCGAAAAGAACCCCGGCGAGGGGAGUGAAAAAGAACCUGAAACCGUGUACGUACAAGCAGUGGGAGCACAGGUUUACCUGUGUGACUGCGUACCUUUUGUAUAAUGGGUCAGCGACUUAUAUUCUGUAGCAAGGUUAACCGAAUAGGGGAGCCGGAGGGAAACCGAGUCUUAAUUGGGCGUUAAGUUGCAGGGUAUAGACCCGAAACCCGGUGAUCUAGCCAUGGGCAGGUUGAAGGUUGGGUAACACUAACUGGAGGACCGAACCGACUAAUGUUGAAAAAUUAGCGGAUGACCUGUGGCUGGGGGUGAAAGGCCAAUCAAACCGGGAGAUAGCUGGUUCUCCCCGAAAGCUAUUUAGGUAGCGCCUCGUGAAUUCAUCUCCGGGGGUAGAGCACUGUUUCGGCUAGGGGGCCAUCCCGGCUUACCAACCCGAUGCAAACUGCGAAUACCGGAGAAUGUUAUCACGGGAGACACACGGCGGGUGCUAACGUCCGUCGUGAAGAGGGAAACAACCCAGACCGCCAGCUAAGGUCCCAAAGUCAUGGUUAAGUGGGAAACGAUGUGGGAAGGCCCAGACAGCCAGGAUGUUGGCUUAGAAGCAGCCAUCAUUUAAAGAAAGCGUAAUAGCUCACUGGUCGAGUCGGCCUGCGCGGAAGAUGUAACGGGGCUAAACCAUGCACCGAAGCUGCGGCAGCGACACUGUGUGUUGUUGGGUAGGGGAGCGUUCUGUAAGCCUGCGAAGGUGGCCUGUGAGGGUUGCUGGAGGUAUCAGAAGUGCGAAUGCUGACAUAAGUAACGAUAAAGCGGGUGAAAAGCCCGCUCGCCGGAAGACCAAGGGUUCCUGUCCAACGUUAAUCGGGGCAGGGUGAGUCGACCCCUAAGGCGAGGCCGAAAGGCGUAGUCGAUGGGAAACGGGUUAAUAUUCCCGUACUUGGUGUUACUGCGAAGGGGGGACGGAGAAGGCUAUGUUGGCCGGGCGACGGUUGUCCCGGUUUAAGCGUGUAGGUGUGUGUUCCAGGUAAAUCCGGUUCACUUUAACACUGAGGCGUGACGACGAGGCACUACGGUGCUGAAGCAACAAAUGCCCUGCUUCCAGGAAAAGCCUCUAAGCAUCAGGUAACAUCAAAUCGUACCCCAAACCGACACAGGUGGUCAGGUAGAGAAUACCAAGGCGCUUGAGAGAACUCGGGUGAAGGAACUAGGCAAAAUGGUGCCGUAACUUCGGGAGAAGGCACGCUGACAUGUAGGUGAAGUGAUUUACUCAUGGAGCUGAAGUCAGUCGAAGAUACCAGCUGGCUGCAACUGUUUAUUAAAAACACAGCACUGUGCAAACACGAAAGUGGACGUAUACGGUGUGACGCCUGCCCGGUGCCGGAAGGUUAAUUGAUGGGGUCAGCGCAAGCGAAGCUCCUGAUCGAAGCCCCGGUAAACGGCGGCCGUAACUAUAACGGUCCUAAGGUAGCGAAAUUCCUUGUCGGGUAAGUUCCGACCUGCACGAAUGGCGUAAUGAUGGCCAGGCUGUCUCCACCCGAGACUCAGUGAAAUUGAACUCGCUGUGAAGAUGCAGUGUACCCGCGGCAAGACGGAAAGACCCCGUGAACCUUUACUAUAGCUUGACACUGAACAUUGAGCCUUGAUGUGUAGGAUAGGUGGGAGGCUUUGAAGCGUGGACGCCAGUCUGCAUGGAGCCGACCUUGAAAUACCACCCUUUAAUGUUUGAUGUUCUAACGUGGACCCGUAAUCCGGGUUGCGGACAGUGUCUGGUGGGUAGUUUGACUGGGGCGGUCUCCUCCUAAAGAGUAACGGAGGAGCACGAAGGUUGGCUAAUCCUGGUCGGACAUCAGGAGGUUAGUGCAAUGGCAUAAGCCAGCUUGACUGCGAGCGUGACGGCGCGAGCAGGUGCGAAAGCAGGUCAUAGUGAUCCGGUGGUUCUGAAUGGAAGGGCCAUCGCUCAACGGAUAAAAGGUACUCCGGGGAUAACAGGCUGAUACCGCCCAAGAGUUCAUAUCGACGGCGGUGUUUGGCACCUCGAUGUCGGCUCAUCACAUCCUGGGGCUGAAGUAGGUCCCAAGGGUAUGGCUGUUCGCCAUUUAAAGUGGUACGCGAGCUGGGUUUAGAACGUCGUGAGACAGUUCGGUCCCUAUCUGCCGUGGGCGCUGGAGAACUGAGGGGGGCUGCUCCUAGUACGAGAGGACCGGAGUGGACGCAUCACUGGUGUUCGGGUUGUCAUGCCAAUGGCACUGCCCGGUAGCUAAAUGCGGAAGAGAUAAGUGCUGAAAGCAUCUAAGCACGAAACUUGCCCCGAGAUGAGUUCUCCCUGAGACUUAGAGUCUCCUGAAGGAACGUUGAAGACGACGACGUUGAUAGGCCGGGUGUGUAAGCGCAGCGAUGCGUUGAGCUAACCGGUACUAAUGAACCGUGAGGCUUAACCUU
rnacentral:rRNA from 1 species